rnacentral:rRNA from 1 species
AGAGUUUGAUCCUGGCUCAGAACGAACGCUGGCGGCAGGCCUAACACAUGCAAGUCGAGCGAGGGGUAACCCUAGCGGCGGACGGGUGAGUAACGCGUGGGAACGUGCCCUUUGCUACGGAAUAGCCCUGGGAAACUGGGAGUAAUACCGUAUGAGCCCUUUGGGGGAAAGAUUUAUCGGCAAAGGAUCGGCCCGCGUUGGAUUAGGUAGUUGGUGGGGUAAUGGCCUACCAAGCCGACGAUCCAUAGCUGGUUUGAGAGGAUGAUCAGCCACACUGGGACUGAGACACGGCCCAGACUCCUACGGGAGGCAGCAGUGGGGAAUCUUAGACAAUGGGCGCAAGCCUGAUCUAGCCAUGCCGCGUGAGCGAUGAAGGCCUUAGGGUUGUAAAGCUCUUUCAGGGGGGAAGAUAAUGACUGUACCCCCAGAAGAAGCCCCGGUUAACUCCGUGCCAGCAGUCGAGGUAAUACGGAGGGGGCUAGCGCUGAACGGAAUUACUGGGCGUAAAGCGCACGAAGGCGGAC